rnacentral:rRNA from 1 species
AUGCUGUGGAGCAAAAAUCAAGCUUGUGCGUGCCGUGGAAGCAGUGUUCGGGUAGCAAAGGCAGCCGAAGACACGGAGCAUGCUGUAGUCGGGAGCAACGCCAAGGAGAAGCUCGUGAGGGGUGCGCGGCGAGCUGCUAUGACAUGGGCAUCUGUUCAUCAGAAACGUGGCCGUGUUCAGGGCUUCAGCCCAGAAACAGGGCGGCAGCGAGGCAUGAAAAAGGAGAGCGCGCACACUGUCGUUGAGCGUACGCAGAGUGCGCUCGGCCUUGCCAUUCUGCUGGCUAGUGUAGGGGCAGGACAUGCGAAUGACAGUGCCGUGAGAGGUGAGAAACUCGCGCGAGGCAUGACUGUCGAAUUCACGCCCGUUGUCAGUCUGUACAGAAAACACCAGCAGCUGAAACUGAGUGCGGGCGUAGGCGUAGAAAUCGCGCAAGAUGGGGAGGACCUCGGAUUUGUGUUUGAGUAG